rnacentral:rRNA from 1 species
UACGUAGGCAGCAAGCGUUGUUCGGAAUUACUGGGCGUAAAGGGCGCGUAGGCGGCCUGCUAAGUCGAACGUGAAAUCCCUGGGCUCAACCCAGGAACUGCGUCCGAUACUGGCAGGCUUGAAUCCGGGAGAGGGAUGCGGAAUUCCAGGUGUAGCGGUGAAAUGCGUAGAUAUCUGGAGGAACACCGGUGGCGAAGGCGGCAUCCUGGACCGGCAUUGACGCUGAGGCGCGAAAGCCAGGGGAGCAAACGGG